GACGGAGGGGGCUAGCGUUGUUCGGAAUUACUGGGCGUAAAGCGUGCGUAGGCGGCUUUUCAAGUUGGGUGUGAAAGCCCGGGGCUCAACCCCGGAGGUGCGCCCAAUACUGGUUGGCUAGAGACCCGGAGAGGUGAGUGGAACUCCCAGUGUAGAGGUGAAAUUCGUAGAUAUUGGGAAGAACACCAGUGGCGAAGGCGGCUCACUGGACGGGUACUGACGCUGAGGCACGAAAGCGUGGGGAGCAAACAGG
rnacentral:rRNA from 1 species